ensembl:lncRNA
CUGACCUUUUGCCUGUUCUGGGAUCUCCCUGUUCCGUCUUCUUCUAAUCGAGACUGGCUGUUUCAACAGCUGUUGUCACACGCCGUACUUGGACGUGUCAAAAGCCAGGUUAAAGAUCUCAGGAAAGGUCUCAAAGAGACUGGUAUCUGGCCACUACUAUCCCAAAGACUUGACUGUCACCAAGUAGUUUUCCCAAGGGAGUCAGAAAUGGACAUUACAGCACAAACAGUCCUUCAGAAAAUUGCAUGGCCCAAGCCUGUGGAUGAUGAUGAGGACAAGGAUGACUGCAUUGCUGUUGAAAUAAUGAGCAUCAUCACAAGCUACAUGCGACGAUUUAUUGAAGAAGGUAUGGUUUUAUGUAUGUUACUUGACUUUCUGUGCGAUUUAAUACCAUUUACAUAAAGCAGUUAAAUGUAUGAUAUCUUUUAAUUACUCUUUCAUAGCAUCACCAAACAUGCUGAGUGACCUAAUGAAGUUCUGGGUGGGAUGAGAUGCGCAUGAUCAUAUCGUUCGAUAUAUUGUCCAGCCCUAGGAUGGGAGGUGCCAGAAGAGAACCUGGUUUUGGAAGUGGUGACUGCCAAAUUCCCUGUUGCUCAGACGUGUUUCAAUAUGUUGCGCCUUCCCUGUCACUAUCAGAGCUACACCACAUUCAAAAUGGAUAUGGUAAUGUGCCUACAAUCUGUUAAUAGUGGAUUUGGUCUCAUUUAACUAGAAGAGAUAACAGGGGGCAGUGUGUUUAGUAAUGUUCCUAAAUUGCAAAAAGGAUUUAGCCUAAGUUAAGAGUAAAAAAGACGAGGCUAAAGUGUUAACUUUUACAAUGUUUUAAACGUUUAAUCAAAUUUAUUUUCAAGUUGGUACACUCUUGAAUGUCUUUUAACACAGUUAAAACCUGUUUGUUAGUAAAAAAUGUGUUCGAAAGCAAUAUCAAAUGUCAAAGGAAUAGUUCACUCAAAUGUAAUCUGUAGGAUUGAUUUUUUUAGAUUAACUUUAAAAAAUUUUCAUGCUGUUUAACGUUUUAAUGUUUGGCCUAAGUGCAAUAAAGUUUAUACAUAUAGUUUGAUAUAUACA